rnacentral:rRNA from 1 species
UGCCCAAGAGAUCGGGAUAACACCUGGAAACAGAUGCUAAUACCGGAUAACAACAGAUGAUGCCUAUCAACUGUUUAAAAGAUGGUUCUGCUAUCACUCUUGGAUGGACCUGCGGUGCAUUAGCUAGUUGGUAGGGUAACAGCCUACCAAGGCGAUGAUGCAUAGCCGAGUUGAGAGACUGAUCGGCCACAUUGGGACUGAGACACGGCCCAAACUCCUACGGGAGGCAGCAGGC